GACGAACGCUGGCGGCGUGCCUAAUACAUGCAAGUUGAGCGCUGAAGGUUGGUACUUGUACCAACUGGGUGAGCAGCGAACGGGUGAGUAACGCGUGGGGAAUCUGCCUUUGAGCGGGGGACAACAUUUGGAAACGAAUGCUAAUACCGCAUAAAAACUUUAAACACAAGUUUUAAGUUUGAAAGAUGCAAUUGCAUCACUCAAAGAUGAUCCCGCGUUGUAUUAGCUAGUUGGUGAGGUAAAGGCUCACCAAGGCGAUGAUACAUAGCCGACCUGAGAGGGUGAUCGGCCACAUUGGGACUGAGACACGGCCCAAACUCCUACGGGAGGCAGCAGUAGGGAAUCUUCGGCAAUGGACGAAAGUCUGACCGAGCAACGCCGCGUGAGUGAAGAAGGUUUUCGGAUCGUAAAACUCUGUUGGUAGAGAAGAACGUUGGUGAGAGUGGAAAGCUCAUCAAGUGACGGUAACUACCCAGAAAGGGACGGCUAACUACGUG
rnacentral:rRNA from 1 species